UCUUACGGGAGGCAGCAGUGGGGAAUAUUGGACAAUGGGCGCAAGCCUGAUCCAGCCAUGCCGCGUGAGUGACGAAGGCCCUAGGGUUGUAAAGCUCUUUCAACAGUGAAGAUAAUGACGGUACCCGUAGAAGAAGCCCCGGCUAACUUCGUGCCAGCAGCCGCGGUAAU
rnacentral:rRNA from 1 species